rnacentral:lncRNA from 1 species
GCAUCUUUGAUCAAACAUGAAAUAAGCAUAUAACAAGAGUGUCAUUAAAAAAUAAGAACUGUUAGAAUGAGUGGACUUGGCCCAAGGAAGGGUUUACCCAAGCAUCCUUUAUCCUCUUUAAUCAUAAGCUGUAACCUAUUUAUCUUCCCUCUUGUAUCCUUUGUUAAUGAGAAAUUAAUAAAAAAGUUAAUCAUCGUUUUUCUCCCGAUACUCAAGUUUCGCAUAAUAAGGUGUCUACUUUACUUUACCACUUCAAACAUGGUAUCAAAGCGAAGUAAAGAUGAAACCCUAGGCAAACCCGAACAGAGACAGCCGCCGCCACCAUGGAAAUGCUACUCCACCAGUUUUAGAAGACACCAGCAGUCACGGUGGGGCUACCCUCGAGUCAGCCACGCAGCCCAGUGGUGGAAACCAGCUGCACACGCUUCCACUAACUGCCUACAUGCCGUCACUGCCAGGCGCGUACCCUCAAGCAGUGCCAUCCAACACCUCCAAUGCUCAACUGGACCACUCCCACCUAUCUUCCCAAGUCCAGCCACAAUACUCUUUUGGUCAGCUGCACCUCCAACCACCACCGUGGCCCUCGGUUUAUGGACUGUCAUCGUUUCACGCACCACUGUCUUUUGACUCUUUACAGCAGUCGCAUGUCCAUGGUACCAGGAUCAAUCAAGUCCAUAAUAGAUCAAGGUUCGAAGUUGGUGAAUUUUUGGUGCAAUCCAAACCAACCAACUGGUCGAUGUAUUCCAAGAGCCCAGUAACUUUGCUCCCUAACUUAUCCUCAAAUUAUAUAAUGAGUUCUCUGACAGUAUCUAUAGGUGCCUUUUCAAGAGAGAAGCUAAAUGGCCAGAAUUACUUUUCCUGGUUUCGACUCUUAAUCGAUCAAGAUGUUUCUCGAGGGUCGUAACCAAUUCAGUUUUCUAACAAGGGAGACUCUUCAUCCCCCACUCAGUGAUGCUCUAGAAUGUUUCUGAAGAGGGGAGGACUCCUUUAUUUGGUCCAUGUUGAUUAAUAGUAUGGAACCACAAAUAGGCAAACUUUUGCUUUAUGCAACAACUACGAAGGAUCUAUAGGACACAAUUCAUAAACUAUAUUCAAAGCAUCAGAACACUUCUCGUUUGUAUACACCGAGAAAACAAGUCCAUGAUUGCAAGCAAGGAACUCUUUGUGUAACCUCAAUAAACUCUCUACUCUAGCAAGAGAUGGACCUGUGCAAAGAGAUCGUAUGGCAUACUCCGAAUGAUGGUAUACAAUAUGUUAGACUUAAGAAGCAAAUCAAACUUGACAUUGUUUGUGGGCGUAUACUUGGACAGAGACCUCUUCCCUCCUUAAUGGAAGUGUGUUAUGAAGUCUGUCUUGAAGAAGACCGUACAAAUGCCAUGAGUGUUCUGACUACUCCUACUACUCACUCUGCUACCUUCAGUACUAGACCCUUGACCCAUAAUAGUGAGAAGAAUAAAGGGAAACCAAUCCUUAUCUGUGAGCAUUACAAGAAACAGUGGCACACUAAGGAUCAGUGUUGGAAACUUCAUGGUUGUCCACCCAGAGGUAAGAAAUGUUUCUCAAAUGAUAAAUAGAAUUCAGGGCAUGCUUAUAUGAGCGAGUGUGCUGGCACUUCUCAACCAUCUAGCCCUACUGUAAACCAGAACAGUCCCAAUCCACCCUCCACUCUAUGAGCCAUUGCUCAGUCAGGUAUGCCUCAGUCAGGUAUGCCUCAGUCCCUUAGUCAUAUCAGUGCUGAUGGAAGAAUCUCUGGAUCCUAAACUUGGGGGCUACAGAUCACUUAACAAGUUUCUUAGAGAAUUUUGUUUCUUAUACUUUGUGUGCUGGUAAUGAAAAGAUCAUAAUAGCUGAUGGUUCUUUAGCUCCAAUUGUUGGGAAGGAACAAAUUUUUCCUUUUGAAUGGCUAUCCCUCCAAAAGGUUUUGCAUGUACCAAAGAUUUCCUAUAAAUUUGCUAUCUAUAAGCAAGAUUACUCGUGAGUUGAACUGCAAAGCUACUUUCCUACCUAAAUCGAUUUCUUUUCAAGACUUAAACUCAAGGAGGAUGAUUAGCACUAUUCGGCAUAGUAGAGGACUUUAUCUCCUUGACGAUGAUAUCCCUGCAAGUAGUAUCUCUAGAACUAGUUUAUUAUCUUCAUAUUUUACUAUUUGCGAACAAGAUUGUAUGUUAUCACAUUUCCGGUUGGGCAUCCAAACUUUACAUAUAUUAAGUCUUUAUUUCCCCAUCUCUUCUCUAAAGUUGAUCUCUCCUCUUUAUCUUGUGAUGUGUGUAUCCAGGUCAAACAACAUCGAGUCUCCUUCCCCUGACAACCAUAUAAAUCAACCCAACCGUUCACCUUAUCCUUAUUAACGUUUGGGGUCCAUUCAAGGUCAUUAACUCCUUUGGAAAACGAUGGUUUGUGAAUUUUAUUGAUGAUCAUACCCGCCUUAACUUGGUCUUUCUUAUCACUGAUAAAUCUGAAAUUUACUCUAUUUUCCAGAACUUCUGUCGCACCAUUAAAAUGCAAUUCAAUGUGAAAUUGCAAUUCUUCGGAGUGAUAAUGGUCAAGAGUUUCAAAACCAUCCCCUUAGUGAGUUCCUAGCCUUCAAGAGGAUAGUUCACCAAAGCUAAUAUGCUUACACCCCUCAACAAAAUGGGAUUGUCGAGUGGAAAACCGUCACCUUUUGGAAGUAGCUCAUUCCCUUAUGUUGUCUACUUCCCUUGCUUCAUAUCUGUGAGGAGAUGUUCUUUCUGCAGCUUAUCUCAUCAAUAGGAUGCCUACUCGUGUCCUCCACUUUCAAACUCCCUUAGAUUGUCUCAAGAAGUGGUAUCCCUCUACUCACCUAACUUUGAGGUUUCCCUUCGUGUCUUUAGGUGUACAGCCUAUGUCCAUAGCUAUGGCCCUAAUUAGACAAAUUUACCCCUCAGGCUCAGACAUGUGUGUUUGUUGGGUAUCCUCUUCAUCAGUAGGGCUAUAAAUGUUUCCCUCCUUCCCAUAAAUACUUUGUCACUAUGGAUGUCACCUUUCGUGAGAAUCAACCCUUCUUUUCUGUUAGCCAUCUUCAACAGGAGAAUGCAAGUGAAGAGUCUACUAUACCUUAGAGUCUACUUCUAUUACCUUACCUAACUCUGAUCCUCAUCUCAUGGUCCUAUCCACAAACCAAGUUCCCUAGAAAACUUACUAUAGAAGAAAUCUCAUAAAGAAAAUUGAAUCCUCAACUGAUCAGCCGACUUUGGUGCAAGACUCUGAACCUCCUCGAGGUCAAGGUAUGACUAAUCCUACUGAAUCAUGCGUUAAUGGUAAAAUGAGUGAGAAUGGAAGGUCUGAUACUGUUGUUCCUAAAGAUAUUGGAGAAAAGGACAAUGUUGAUGAGACUGAGGUCAAAGCAGAAACUAGUGGCAAGGAGGUUAAACAGGGUCAUUCAGGUAAUCUUAAUGGACAUUCCCAUUAAGCUGAGAAAAGGUAUCAGGUCCUACACGAAAACCACAUUUGAAACUAUGUUUCCUAUGACAAUCUAUCUUUACAGUUCAGAGCCUUCACAACUGGCCUUGACUUUACCAUGAUACUGAAAAAUAUUCACAUUGCUUUAGAGUGUCCUAGGUGGAAAGUUGUUGUUAUGGAAGAGAUUAAGGCCCUUGAAAAGAAUAAGACUAGAGAAAUUUGUGCUCUCCCUAAGAGACAUAAAACUGUGGGAUGUAUAUGGGUGUUCACAAUCAAAUACAAGUCAAAUGGAACCCUUGACAGACACAAGGCAAGAUUAGUUGCAAAAGGGUUAACUCAGACCUAUGGUGUUGAUUACUCGAAAACAUUUUCUUCAGCUGCUAAACUAAAUACAAUUAGUCAUGUUAUUUGCUGCAGUGAACAAAGCCUGACCUCUAUAUCAGCUAGAUGUUAAGAAUGUGUUCUUGAAUGGAGACCUGGAAGAGGAAGGUUAUAUGAGUUCCCUUCAGGGUUUGAAGACCAAUUUGGUCAUCAGGUUUGUAAACUCCAAAAAUCUUUAUGUGGACUGAAAUAUUCAUCAAGAGCGUGGUUUGAUAGGUUUACUACCUUUGUCAAGUCCCAAAGAUACAAUCAAGGGCACUCUGACCAUACUUUGUUUACAAAAGUCUCCAACGUUGGGAAGAUCACAGUAUUGAAUGCUUAUGUUGCUGACAUCAUUUUAUCUGGGGAUGACACUACUGAAAUCAUCCAACUGAAAAAGAGGAUGGGUGAUGAGUUUGAAAUCAAAGAUUUGGAAAAUCUGAAAUAUUUUCUUGGGAUGGAGGUAGCUAGAUCUAAAGAAGGUAUCUCUGUAUCUUAGAGGAAGUAUACCAUUGAUUUGUUGACUGAGACAAGCAUGCUUGGAUGUUGCCUUGCUGAUACUCUCAUUAAAUUCAACCGUAAACUGGAAAAUUUAGGUGAUAAAGUUCUAGUUGAUAAAGAGCAAUAUCGACGCCUUGUGGGUAAGUUGAUUUUCUUGUCUCAUACUCGACUAGAUAUUUCCUAUGUUGUGAGUGUUGUUAGCUAUUUCAUGCAUGCUCCUUACGAGGAACACAUGGAGGCGGUUAACAGAAUUCUAAGGUACUUAAAAACAACUUUUGGUAAAGGAUUAAUGUUCAGAAAGACAGACGGGAAAGUUAUUGAGACCUAUAUUAACUUUGAUUGGGCAGGGUCUGUUGUUGACAGGAAACCCCACCUCCAGUUACUAUACCUUUGUAUGGGGCAAUCUUGUAACUUGGAGGAGUAAGAAGUACUGGGUUGUGGCCAGAAGCAAUGAUGAGGUUGAGUACAAGGCUAUGAGUUUGGAGAUACGUGAGGAAAUUUGGCUCCAAAAAGUUUUAUCUAAUCUUUAUCAGAAUAGUGAGGUGCCAAUGAAAUUAUUUUGUAAUAACAAGGCAGCUAUUAGCAUCGCCAACAAUCCAAUUCAACAUGAUAGAACUAAACAUGUGGAGCUUGAUCAAGACUUCGUUAAAGAAAGAAUGGACAAUGGUAGCAUAUGCAUUCCAUAUAUUUCCACAAGCCAACAGGUUGUUGAUGUUCUUAUCAAGGAGCCUCUCAGACAUAAAUUUGACAUUUGUGUUAGCAAGUUGGGUCUCAUUGAUAUCUACGUCUCAACUUGAGAAGGAGUGUUAGAAUUAGUGGGCUUGACCCAAGGAAGGAUUUAUCCUAACAUCCUUUCCUCUUUAAUCAUAAGUUGUAACCUAUUUAUCGUCCCUCUUGUAUCCUUUGUUGAAAUGAAAAAUUAAUAAAAAAAAGACAAUCAUAGUUUUUCUCCCAAUACUCGAAUUUCUACGUACAAGGUGUCUACUUUACU